GGUCAUUCAGUGUAACGGGAUCAGGAAGCCAUUUUGAAAUUAAAUAAACAAACAAUAGUCAUCAAGCAGUCUGUGACAUCAUCAAAAGGCCCCCUGAAGACCAUGUGGUGAUUCAGCAAGAUGCCCACAAACAAAGAGAAAGUUUCUAGGCACUGGCAGAAAGUUAAUGCAGACCCAGUAGCUAGGGCAAUGCAUUUAGCAAGGAGACGAGAAAGCAACCAGAGAAGAAAGCAAGCUGCCUUGGCUGCAAAUCCUGAUCACCCGUCAAUCAGGAAUUUAUCAGAUGCUGCAGCUGAGAAGAAGCGAAAGCAAUGGCGGGAAAAUCAAAGAAAACACAGGGCAG